UCUGCAGGGAGAGGUGAGUCGAGUCCAAUCCCGGGCGACCCAGCAGAGUGGAGGAGCAACAGUUGCUAAAAGGGAAUGAUGGGUAAAUAAAAGUCUUCGCCAGAGAGCAGAAAUCUUCACAGGUGGUGCAUGGUACUGAAAACUUCCAGAAAGACAUGGGCAGGCUGGCAUUUGGUGACCAAGUCUACUCCUGAGAUGCUCAGCUGCUUGCUUUGGCUGUGGUGGCUGGUGUCCAAGUAGGCAUGCAGUUGGCGGGGCUCAGGUGUUAGCAAGCACGGCUUCAGGGCCCUCUGUGGCUGAUAUUGACCAGAGAAGGCAUGUUUUUUUGGUCACAUCUGAUAAAGGAGACUUUUGCAGCUUCACUGAAGUAUAAUUGGCUAAUAAAAAUUGCAUUGAACGUG